AUUGAUGUUGAAGUUGGUACCAGCAGAUGCAUGUUCCUCUGCUGUAUUUCUCUUCUUUGCACCUCUUUGCCUUGAUGGUUUAUGAGACCGUACAAGGACUAACCUUAUUCAGUAACAUUAAGUUAGUACAAAGUUGAGUCAUCUAUUUUGGAACGGAGGGAGUAAAAGAAAUGGCCGAGAGGCUUCCUCCAGGAGACUCUGAUGCGAAGCUACCACGGCUCGCAUAUGUACCUGCCUGGUAGUGCAGUUUCUCCUGAAAUGGGGAUAGAAGGCCACAAGAGAUAUGAGCCAGUAUACAUUCAUUAUUCUCAGACACCGACUUAUGUCAUGUCUGCUUGGUCUAACGGGCUCCCUCCCCAAGCCCAUCAAAUAGGUAAACCCGUUCAUAACACGGUGGCCCCACAUGAGAGCAUGUUUGAGAACUUGAACAAGAUCAGAGAUUUCCCGGCUUCGCAUCAGAGGUCGAACGGUGGGAUGGCGGGGUAUAUAUCGUCCAAUAUCCGAGGAUUUUGACCGGCAGGAAACAGAAAGGUUCCAGAUAAACCUGCAAGGCUGGAAUAAGAGAGGCUCCGGUUCACCCAGUAACCAAGUUGAGUCCGAGUGGAUAGAACAGUUUGAACCCGGGGUGUACCUGACACUGACACUGCUUUUCUCUUCAUGAUGGAACCAAAGAGCUGAAAAGGGUGCUGUUCAGUCCCCUGUUGUACAGAAGAAGCAUGAUCUGUGCAGUUGGCGCAUGGCAGGAGCAAGUGCCUCUGCUCUUGUGACUCCCCUCCACAUCUUGUGAGUAGUGAGUAGUGAGUUUGUUGUGACCAUGAUACUGCUGUCAAGCCUGUAUGUAUAUUUCUUGGGACUAAGGCCCUGCCUAAAGGGGACUCCAACUUGGUGUUCUGAACUGGAUGUGAGUCAUGUAACCGGCUAACCGUGCAUUGUCGUCAAAUUAGUUGCAUAUUAAGAAUCACACGUAAGUGUAUGUGAUGUUGAUGUAGUAAUAGUCAGUCUACAUAUGAUCUGCUAAGAUUGGAGAAUUAACCUUUCCUUUUUUUGAGUACGAGUUGUGCAUCCAAGAUACGAAUGAAGCCUUGAGAGUGGAUUUCGGAAGCAAGAGGUUCAGAGACUAGAAGAACAUGUAUGCUUGAUUCUAUUUUGUUUAACUUGUGAUCAACUUGGUGCUCGGCUAUGCUGCAAACGUUAUGACCGAAGUUUGCUACCCUUUGCCAAUUUAUGUCUAUCCACUUCUGUUUUUUCCAGUAGGUGGUUGUUCGUUUGUUCAAGUAUACCAAGCUUUGUGUAUCUAUCGACUAUAAAUUUUAAGUUAUGUUGUUUUAACUAUUCUGUUUUGAUUUC